UACGUAGGUGGCAAGCGUUGUCCGGAAUUAUUGGGCGUAAAGCGCGCGCAGGCGGUCCUUUAAGUCUGAUGUGAAAGCCCACGGCUCAACCGUGGAGGGUCAUUGGAAACUGGGGGACUUGAGUACAGAAGAGGAGAGUGGAAUUCCACGUGUAGCGGUGAAAUGCGUAGAGAUGUGGAGGAACACCAGUGGCGAAGGCGACUCUCUGGUCUGUAACUGACGCUGAGGCGCGAAAGCGUGGGGAGCAAACAGG
rnacentral:rRNA from 1 species